UACGGAGGGUGCGAGCGUUGUCCGGAAUCACUGGGCGUAAAGGGCGCGUAGGUGGCGCGGGCAGUCAACGGUGAAAGUUCGGGGCUCAACCCUGAAUCGGCCGUCGAUACUCCCGGGCUUGAGCACUGUAGAGGCAGAUGGAAUCCGGGUGUAGCGGUGGAAUGCGUAGAGAUCCGGAAGAACACCGGUGGCGAAGGCGGUCUGCUGGGCAGUAGCUGACACUGAGGCGCGACAGCGUGGGGAGCAAACAGG
rnacentral:rRNA from 1 species